AGGAACACACCAUGUGGAGUUGCGUCACUUAACGACAUCUGCAGAGCCCUUGGCCGUAUAAGAUAACGUAGGCACAAUUCAGGAACGAGGAGGUGGUGUCUGUGUGUGUCGUGGCGGGAGAGCUUGCUCGGUCCUCAGGUGGGUAGAAAAAAUCAAGAGGGUCAGGCUGGCAUUGCACUGGGAGUGACUGAGAACCCCACCCAGGACCUGCGUGUGUGGGACCAGGCAAGGAACGAAGGUCUCCAUCAGAACUCCAGUGCUCUGGAAGGAGACAGUGGCCAGUGGGGAACACUGCUUGUGAUCAGCUCAGGACUGGGAUCCACAGGUCAGGUUCAAAUCCUACCUCUUCCUCCUCCCAGGGACCAGAGUAUGGUUGUGACGGGGAGCAGGGAGGGACUGGAAAGGAGGAAAUAAACAGACGCAUUCACGUGACCCGAUUUCAUCUCUACCACAGCCUGCCAAGCAAACUCCUGCCUCAUUUUGCAAAUGUGAAAACAACAGCUCAGAGAGAUCAAGCACUUUUCCUGAGAUCACACAGCCACUUAGGGAGCUGGGAUUUCCCAGGCCCUGGGAUUUCCACUCCAGCUACUUGGCUGUCUGCUACAUCUGUGUGCAUGUUAGACUUUUAACAUAUUUUCUUUAAAUCAGCUUACUGCUUUUUAAUUUAAAUGCAUCUGUUUUUAAAUGAAACUAUGUUUCUCCCAUAAGUGGAAUUCAUGGGCUAGUUAUGUACAUUUUUGUACUGCACAUUAAAAUGAAUUUAUCACUAUAAAAACGAAAAAUGUUCAUUCAUAG
rnacentral:lncRNA from 1 species